UACAGAGGUCUCAAGCGUUGUUCGGAUUCAUUGGGCGUAAAGGGUGCGUAGGUGGCGUGUAAGUCGGGUGUGAAAUUUCGGAGCUUAACUCCGAAACUGCAUUCGAUACUGCGGUGCUUGAGGACUGGAGAGGAGACUGGAAUUCAUGGUGUAGCAGUGAAAUGCGUAGAGAUCAUGAGGAAGACCAGUGGCGAAGGCGGGGUCUCUGGACAGUUCCUGACACUGAGGCACGAAGGCCAGGGGAGCAAACGGG
rnacentral:rRNA from 1 species